rnacentral:snRNA from 1 species
UCUGUCUGCAGUAUCUGUCACCCCAUCGAUUGCCAGCUGAUCUGGCUGGCCAAGCGGGUGUCCCCU